CUAGGAACGUCCCGACCAUACUCCGAGAACGUCAGAAACUAAGAUCACGGAAGCGUUUUUUACAAACUGCCACCGACUACGCGAGCAAUGUUCGCUGGUGGACGUCCGUGUUUUUUACUGUGACUAAAGAAGUGCGACCAAGGCAGUCCAUCGACAUGAAUUAGAAAGCAUGGGAUAACAAAGCAGCAGCCUAUGAGCUACCGUUUAGGCUUUUGUUGGUUUUAAAGGUUCGUGGGAGAUUACGGGCGUGUAGGACCGGCGUUGGGGGUUUUCCAAAAUCCCCGCGUCUCCUCCUGGCAUCGGAAACGGUGCUUGCGGGGCCUGCUUCGCUCAGGAAUGAAGGAGGGUUGCUCGGGGGAAAACGUACUUGGGCGAGAGAGGUGAAAUUCUUAGACCGCCCAAAGACGAACUACAGCGAAGGCAUUUUCCAAGGAUACCUUCCUCAAUCA
rnacentral:rRNA from 1 species